rnacentral:lncRNA from 1 species
UUCAGUGGGGUGUUAUUUGGCCCGCAAGAACACUGGAUGUCAAGAGACAGGGAAAACUCCGCGACAGGAGGUGACUACAUGGCCCUGUGGCAGAAGGACGGGGGACAGGACCCGCCGCCGAGCGAUUUAAACACACAGGGAAGCGACCGCCUGACUCUCACGGAGACGCCUGAAUUUGGUCGGGGUAGAGGGAGCGGUGCGAGGAUUUCAAGGUCUGUGUGGCCCCUCAGAUC